rnacentral:rRNA from 1 species
CAAAGCACUUUGAAGAGAGAGUUAAAGAGGACGUGAAACCGGUGGGGUGGAAACGGAUAGAGCCAGCGAAUCUGUCCUGUAUUCAGCUGGUCACUGUUGCUGCUUGGUGGGUUUGUUUCAAACGAGCAACCUCAUUGAGCGGGCGGCGGGGAUCAGUGCAUUUGCAGGUGGUGUGCGCUGAGGUGGACAGUGCAGCGGUCCAAGGUUGGUGUAGGGGCUUCGUCUUCGGGCGUGAAACUUGCAGCCUCGGAAGACUGUUUGUGCUGUCCAGGAGACUGGACUAUGCGUGGGUUGUGGUCUGCUCUGUGGCGCUGGGAGGCGGUCGCGUGCGACACGUGCUCGGCGCUGCUCUGCUGUCCACCCCCACCCCAGGCAUUCUCGGCGUAAAAGGUGGUCAUCUAUCCGACCCGUCUUGAAACACGGACCAAGGAGUUUAGCGUGUGCGCGAGUCAUUGAGUGGAAAACUCAUAGGCGAAAUGAAAGUAAUGAUGUGCGAUUUUGCGUGCCCGGCACGCGAAGGCAGCACAGCCCCGUCCCGAUUGCUUGCAAUGGGGCGGAGGCAGAGCGUAUUCGCUGAGACCCGAAAGAUGGUGAACUAUGCCUGAGCAGGAUGAAGCCAGGGGAAACCCUGGUGGAAGUCCGAAGCGGUUCUGACGUGCAAAUCGAUCGUCUGACUUGGGUAUAGGGGCGAAAGACUAAUCGAACCAUC